rnacentral:rRNA from 1 species
GAAGGGAGCUUGCUCCCGGAUGUUAGCGGCGGACGGGUGAGUAACACGUGGGUAACCUGCCUGUAAGACUGGGAUAACUCCGGGAAACCGGAGCUAAUACCGGAUAGUUCCUUGAACCGCAUGGUUCAAGGAUGAAAGACGGUUUCGGCUGUCACUUACAGAUGGACCCGCGGCGCAUUAGCUAGUUGGUGGGGUAAUGGCUCACCAAGGCGACGAUGCGUAGCCGACCUGAGAGGGUGAUCGGCCACACUGGGACUGAGACACGGCCCAGACUCCUACGGGAGGCAGCAGUAGGGAAUCUUCCGCAAUGGACGAAAGUCUGACGGAGCAACGCCGCGUGAGUGAUGAAGGUUUUCGGAUCGUAAAGCUCUGUUGUUAGGGAAGAACAAGUGCGAGAGUAACUGCUCGCACCUUGACGGUACCUAACCAGAAAGCCACGGCUAACUACGUGCCAGCAGCCGCGGUAAUACGUAGGUGGCAAGCGUUGUCCGGAAUUAUUGGGCGUAAAGGGCUCGCAGGCGGUUUCUUAAGUCUGAUGUGAAAGCCCCCGGCUCAACCGGGGAGGGUCAUUGGAAACUGGGAAACUUGAGUGCAGAAGAGGAGAGUGGAAUUCCACGUGUAGCGGUGAAAUGCGUAGAGAUGUGGAGGAACACCAGUGGCGAAAGCGACUCUCUGGUCUGUAACUGACGCUGAGGAGCGAAAGCGUGGGGAGCGAACAGGAUUAGAUACCCUGG